rnacentral:rRNA from 1 species
GUCUUUUUGAUAAUAAUUUAAAGUCUAGUCUGCUCAAUGAUUAAUUAAAUAGCUGCAGUAUUUUGACUGUACAAAGGUAGCAUAAUAAUUAGUUACUUAAUUAGUAGCUUGAAUGAAUGAUUGAACAAGAAAGUUUCUGUCUUUUUUUAAGAUUUUUUGAAUUUUAUUUUUAAGUUAAAAUGCUUAAUUAUAUAUAAAAGACGAGAAGACCCCAUAGAGUUUUAUUUUUUUAUAUUUUAGUAUUAUUAUUUUUAAUUAAAAAUUAGUUGGGGUGACUAGAAGAUUAAAUCAACUCUUUUAAUUUCAAUCAUUAAUUUUUGAAUAAUAAGUCUAAUUUUAUUAAAUUUAAAUUAAAUUACCUUGGGGAUAACAGCGUAAUUCUUUUUUAGAGUUCUUAUCAAAUAAAGAGAUUGCGACCUCGAUGUUGGAUUAAAAUUUAUUUUAGGCGUAGGAGUUUAAAAAUUAAGUCUGUUCGACUUUUAAA